CAACACACUACAUCCCAGGGACUUCCCAAAAAAGUCCAAACGUCCCACAUCCCAACAAGGUGGUUUUUAGGAUGUCCUUUAGACAUGUGCAUAGGGAUCAUUCCUAAAACAUCCCUUGUAGGAUCUGAUCGGAACUUCAAGUUAGCGGUGAAAUAAGCUACCGUGUUGAAAAUUGGCGAUCCUAAACAAUCGGAAACAGCAACUCCGCCGGAGAGCAUGGUUGGCGCGCGUGCACAAUUGCAUAUCUACAUGCACAUGAAAAACAAUAUAUCCGCGUUUUUUGUGAAAGUGUUAGUUUGUUUUUUUUUGUUUCUUUCUAAAUGUCGCGCCGUUAUGAGGACGAGGGAUCGAUUGCUGUCUGCGUGAGCAAGUGUUGCACUUGGUAAAGGCGGUACAGCGGUACGGCGCACGUACUCGCGCCACGCACGCCGUGCUUUUCGUGAAAGAUCAGAGAACGGCGGCCGCACCGCACGAGCGGUGGUGUGGUGGUGUCGUAUUUAUAAAAACACCGACAUAUUAACUUUAGAAGAAUUGAAUGAAAUAUUGUUAUUUUAUUGUUUUCUUUCUUAGGUUUAAUACGCAAUUGUUCUUUAAUUGCGCUUAUUGCGAGCCAACACCUGCUCAAAUAGUGGACGAUUUGCUGCGAGCACUGCGCAGACAUUGCCAUCGCCAUCAUGGCGCCCGGCGUGUUUGGAGUUCGGAUAGAUCAGACUCUUCGUUGGCCUCGUUUUUAGGUGUUUGAUCCGUGACGUUUCGUCGAAAAAUCACAAGCGCGCAUGCCGUAGGUGUUUGCCUGGUUGCAAGAUCUUGCCGAUUUCAACGUUUUUCCACCUCUUCGCACUUUCUUCUUUGGCUCCCCACCGCGCGCAGGUUGGCGUACGCUGAACUGGACCCUCGCAGCAAGAAUGGCACGUGGGAAUUGACACCGCGAUCGUGGAACACAUGGCUGAUCUGCCUCGAAUAACUGCAAGCCGGCGCGUGCGUAGUGCCGUGGAGAACGAUCAGAAGUCCUGGACGACAAAGAAAAAAACUUCAAAGGUUUGUUGUACAUGUUUUCCACGGCAACUGACAUAAACGUAAAAAAAAUUGGAAUGGUCAAAUGCAUGUGUCAAGUUUAACCAUUUGUAGUGGGCUGUGGACAUGAAUUAAGCAUUGCUGCACACAAGACUGGCUUGCCCUCAGUUUAUGCCCAGUACCAAAUUUUUUGCUCUCAUUAUGACACCAUUUGUAAGAAAAGCCAGAACUUAUGUUCAAAACAGCGCAUAUUCUUGCUAUUCUUUUAUUCAGUUGCACGUGUGAGUCCUGCUGCUGGCCAUCAGUUAGCCGGUUAUCAGAAGAAAAGGGCACAGCCCAGUUUUGUACUGGUAUAUACCGUAUCGUUUGUGAUUAUGAUCAUGAUUUUUGUCUUACUGAAACAAGAAACUGAAAAAUGUAUGUUGGUGUUUCUGCUACAUCUCUAUGAAGCAGCAGAACCUGUUGCUCAGUCACUUGGUGCAUAUUAGCAACUGGCACCUUGUCUGGCUUCCCGAUACCUCCGCCUUUUUUCAGUGCAUGUUGUUUUCAUCCUUUACCAGCAGUCAAGUAGUUUCACACAACCGAAAUGACCAACUAGCCCACUCUGUUUGUCAAGUAGGUUUUACUUCCAAACAAAUGUAGCACAUUUGUGAUAUGCACUGUUGCUCAAUGAUAUUCUUUUUGCAUGUGCUAGCUGUGUACACAUAUUACAUGAUCUUUUUUCUUUUUUUUUCAGCUGCUUCUAGUAGUGGUGCCCCUGGUGUGCACCUUUACCCCAAAUGUCUGCACCUUUGCCUACCGGUAAUGACAUAGAAUGUGCUCAGCUUCCUGGACAUAGGCAUGCAGGUUACGAGACGGAAAACGUGCAGCUUAGACUUCAUGCUUGUAAAUGCGAAAGUCGUAACCGACAUAAUUAGAGUAAGCUAAAAGGAGAAAUUUCUGCUUAUGAGCAAGUAAUUAUGAAGCAGGUUUUACUCCUCUUAAACUAGCAGACAUGCAACAACACAGUUGUGCUAUGUUUGUUUUGUGCGCCACUUUCAUGCAUAUUUGUGCUUGCAGUGGAUAUGCAUAUACAUGAAGGAUUUGUUUUUGUUUUCCUCAGCUGCCUCUGCGAACCCCGCUCCUGGACAACAGCUGGGAGGCUCUGUGUUUAAACGCGUGCACCUUGGACGUCAUGCUCGUAAAUACCAAUUCCUUUGUCAUUCCUGGCAUGAAUUUCGUUGGUAAAGCAAUAAGUAAAAUUGUGCAUUGUUGUUUACAAGCACUUCAGUAUGAACCAGGCUUAAAGGAGAAGGGACCGACAACUGGCCAGAACUUGUGAUUAGAUCCUGUCAGAAAUGAAAAGACCGCGCUAUAUACUGACAUAUUCCAGCAUCCUUUUCGCGCUGUGAGUAGGAUUUAUAUCUCUAAAUUGUGUUUAAAAGUAACAAAAAAAGGCAUGUUGUGCAACCUAUCGCAAGAGCCUUGAAGCUAGAUUGCGGAGUUGAUCACUUUGCUGUACAAAGUCACGUAGUCUGAUACCGUCAUGUGUGCCAUUAUUGGUCCUAAAAAUAUUAGUAUGUAUAUUACUAUCCAUCCCCGCUCUAUUCUGUGCUGCUUAUGAGGUAAAAGGAGUUGCAUGGUGACAAGUAACGGCGCUGCCUUCGCGGUAGCCAGUGGACCAUGUCGAGCCGCAGCGCAUGCGCGCGAGUACACACACACGCAGUAAACCGCCGCGCUCGAACACGAACCGCUGUCACGCUCACUGUUUGCAUCAUGUCUUGUCACGUGUGUAUACGACUUCAUAUCCGUCGCAGAUAGAAAAAUUCGAAUUACAAAUGUUUCACGGCAUUUUCCACAUCACCAUUCCUUGAUUAUACACUCUGACUGGUAAGCUUUCUGUCGCGUUAAAGAAAAUAGGUACCAUAAAAGUUGGUUGUCGGUCCCUUUAACCUCUUAACACACACACAGGACAAAAUAGGCAUGCUAUAUCCCCGUUGUGCACCAUCUUUGUGCGUUUGUGUGUGCAGUAUGGACAUGUACAUUAAGGCUUUGUUUUUGUUCUCAGCUGCCUCUGCGAGCCCUGCUGUUGGACGCCAGCUGGAAUGCUCUGCGUUUGAAAGCGUGCACCCCAGAUGUCAUGCUCAUAAAUACAGAGUUCUCAUGAUUCUAGUGUUGACAAAGCAAUAAGUAAAAGCAGGCACUUGUGCAUCUGGAAUGAGGUUUAACCCUGUCUCAGGAGACAUAAGACAAUAUAGUCAUGCUAUGUUCCUGUUGUUCACCAUUUUCAUGCAUGUUGUGUGCAGUACGUAUACAUACAUGCAGGCUUUGUUUUUGUUGU